rnacentral:rRNA from 1 species
GACGAACGCUGGCGGCGUGCUUAACACAUGCAAGUCGAACGGAAAGGCCCUGCUUUUGUGGGGUGCUCGAGUGGCGAACGGGUGAGUAACACGUGAGUAACCUGCCCUUGACUUUGGGAUAACUUCAGGAAACUGGGGCUAAUACCGGAUAGGAGCUCCUGCUGCAUGGUGGGGGUUGGAAAGUUUCGGCGGCUGGGGAUGGACUCGCGGCUUAUCAGCUUGUUGGUGGGGUAGUGGCUUACCAAGGCUUUGACGGGUAGCCGGCCUGAGAGGGUGACCGGCCACAUUGGGACUGAGAAGCGGCCCAGACUCCUACGGGCGGCAGAAGUGGGAAAUAUUGCGCAAUGGGCGGAAGCCUGAUGCAACAACGCCGCGUGCGGGAUGACGGCCUUCGGGUUGUAAACCGCUUUCGCCUGUGACGAAGCGUGAGUGACGGUAAUGGGUAAGGAAGCACCGGCUAACUACGUG